GAGUGAGGAGAGAAACCGAGAAUGGGAAGAGAGAAAGAUAGAGACAGGGAAAGAGGAGAGAGACCGAGACCGAGGCCGAGAAUGAGGAGAGAGAGAGAGAAAGAGAGAGAGAGAGAGAGAGAGAGAGAGAGAGAGAGAGAGAGAGAGAGAGAGAGAGAGAGAGAGAAAACUGUUGACUAUAUAUGAUGGUGUAUAUACCACUGAGAGAAAUUUUCUGUUGGAUGAGUGAGAGCCAUAUAGCUGAGUGGGAUAUUCUCCCCUAUUAAGAUGCUGACUUCCCAUAUUUUCUAGCAUUUCCCUUCCUUAGUCUCUGACAUAUUCAUGUAACUGCUUUAACCUCAGCAGCUUUCCUCAGCUUUUAGAGGAAAUUCAGUGUGCUAAAAUCAAUGGAUCCAUCACCUCAACCCUUCAGAAUCAUAACUUUAGCACUAAAAGGGGCCACAGAGACUGCCAAGUCUAUUCAAUACAUAAGGAAACUGAGUCGGUCAGUCAGAAACCAUUUCUUAUUUCUUACAAACCUACUGUGUGGUGGGUCCUGUGCUAAGUACUGUGAAUACCAAGUCAGGCAAGAGUCCCUGCCUUCCAGGAGUUCACAGUCUAAUGAGGAUCAACUGGCAAGACUCAAACCCAGCUUCCCUGACUCCAGUGGUCUCUUUUCACUGCAAUAUAAGUGGUAAGCUAGAUGGCGCAGUGCAUAGCAUGCUGGGUCUGGAGUCAGAAAGAUUUCUCUUCCUGAGUUCAGAUCCAGACUCAGAUAUUUACUAGCUAUGUGACCCUGAGCAAAUCACUUAACCCUGUUGGCCUCAGUUUACUCAUCUGGAAAAUGAACUGUAGGAGAAAAUGGCAAACCACGCCAGUAACUUUGUCCAAAAACAAACAAACAAACGAAGACAAACAGGGUCAAAAAGAAUCCAAAAGGAUUGAAAUGACUCAGUGAUGAUAUAUUGCCUCUCUCACAGAUACUCUGGAAAUGGCCUGACCUGUCUUGUCAUAUGGCUUACAUCCACUUUCACCCCAUCUCUAUAUUUGCUCCUGGCAAAGAUUAUCCUGCCCUUCUCCUCAGAGACUUCCCUAAUUACUGACACAUGCCUGACGUGUAUUGGGUAGCACAUUGUAUAGCCUGACCCACUGGUCUGAUCUGCUGGGUGGGGAAUUGAAGAAGUUUUAACACACGAACUCCUGGUCUAGACAAUGUCAAGAUUCUGUGCAAAUUCGGAAGACUCAAACAUUUAAAAAAUUAAAUGAGAACAGAUAACAUACCUUUCAUAAAGAUGGCCAAGGAAGAUAGAGGGAGAGAAAAAAAGGAUUCCUA
rnacentral:lncRNA from 1 species